UACGUAGGGGGCAAGCGUUGUCCGGAUUUAUUGGGCGUAAAGAGCGUGUAGGCGGCCAAGCAGGUCCGCUGUGAAAACUCGAGGCUCAACCUCGAGACGUCCGUGGAAACCGUUUGGCUAGAGUCCGGAAGAGGAGAGUGGAAUUCCCGGUGUAGCGGUGAAAUGCGCAGAUAUCGGGAAGAACACCCGUGGCGAAGGCGGCUCUCUGGGACGGUACUGACGCUGAGACGCGAAAGCGUGGGGAGCGAACAGG
rnacentral:rRNA from 1 species